rnacentral:rRNA from 1 species
UACGUAGGGGGCAAGCGUUGUCCGGAUUUAUUGGGCGUAAAGAGCGUGUAGGCGGCCAGAUAGGUCAGCUGUGAAAACUCGAGGCUCAACCUCGAGAUGUCGGCUGAAACCAUCUGGCUAGAGUCCGGAAGAGGAGAAUGGAAUUCCUGGUGUAGCGGUGAAAUGCGUAGAUAUCAGGAAGAACAUCGGUGGCGAAGGCGCUCUGCUGGACCAUAACUGACACUCAGGGACGAAAGCUAGGGGAGCGAAUGGG